UACGUAGGGGGCAAGCGUUGUCCGGAAUCAUUGGGCGUAAAGAGCGUGUAGGCGGUCCACUAAGUCGGCUGUGAAAGUCCAGGGCUCAACCCUGGGAUGCCGGUCGAUACUGGUGGACUAGAGUCCGGAAGAGGCGAGUGGAAUUCCCGGUGUAGCGGUGAAAUGCGCAGAUACCGGGAGGAACACCAAUGGCGAAGGCAGCUCGCUGGGACGGUACUGACGCUGAGACGCGAAAGCGUGGGGAGCAAACAGG
rnacentral:rRNA from 1 species